GCAGGGUCGGGCCUGGUUAGUACUUGGAUGGGAGACCGCCUGGGAAUACCAGGUGCUGUAAGCGUUUUC
rnacentral:rRNA from 1 species